rnacentral:rRNA from 1 species
CCUACGGGUGGCUGCAGUGGGGAAUAUUGGACAAUGGGGGGAACCCUGAUCCAGCCAUGCCGCGUGUGUGAAGAAGGCCCUCGGGUUGUAAAGCACUUUCAGUGAGGAAGAACGCCUGGUGGUUAAUACCCAUCAGGAAAGACAUCACUCACAGAAGAAGCACCGGCUAACUCCGUGCCAGCAGCCGCGGUAAUACGGAGGGUGCGAGCGUUAAUCGGAAUUACUGGGCGUAAAGCGCGCGUAGGUGGCUUGAUAAGCCGGUUGUGAAAGCCCCGGGCUUAACCUGGGAACGGCAUCCGGAACUGUCAAGCUAGAGUGCAGGAGAGGAAGGUAGAAUUCCCGGUGUAGCGGUGAAAUGCGUAGAGAUCGGGAGGAAUACCAGUGGCGAAGGCGGCCUUCUGGACUGACACUGACACUGAGGUGCGAAAGCGUGGGUAGCAAACAGGAUUAGAUACCCGUGUAGUC